AACGCAUCUUGCACCCUUUGGCAUUCCUUAGGGUAUGCCUGUUUGAGUGUCUUCAACAACAUCAACGUGACGCCUCCGAAGGGUGGACGUUGGAAUUGAGCGCUGCUGGUUUCACCGGCUCGCUUGAAAAGUGUUAAGCCCGAUCUUCGAUGGUCUUGUUCCGCGUCAGGUUGGUGUGAUAGAGCUCCCACGAGUUGCGAAUCGCCUCUUGAACGGACGGUGACCUCUGGAUGGUCGAGCUUCGUUUCGGCCCAUGUCUUCAUGGUGCUUCUUGAAUCGGACCUCAAAUCAGGUAGGACUACCCGCUGAACUUAA
rnacentral:misc_RNA from 1 species